CACCGGGAACAAUUGUGGUUCCUGCCUCAUAGAGUUUUGUGCAGAAGAAAUGGGAUUAUCCAGCUACAGUUGUUUAACACACUAUCUGGCACAUAGUAAGUGCUCAGUAAAUGUUCACUUAAAACAGUCACACCCAUCACAAUAAUGACCUUUAUCUGUUAGCGUACUAGUCUUUUCACUAGACCUAAGGUUUCUGGAAAUCAGAGAUCACUUCCUUAAUUUUGCCACAAUUGCCCCUUCUACUUGUGCCCAUUUGUGGAGGUCUUAGUACAGUUCCCUGUGCGGGGAGCUUUUUGUCUGUCACCCCAAUGAACCUUUACAACAACCUACGAGGUAAGUAUUAGGAUCCCAUGCUGUGGUUUAAAAAACCAAGGCUCAGAGAGGUAGAAACCCUGUCCCACAUCCCCCAGCUGAUUCACGGAAGAGCCAGGAUUCUGACUCCCUGUGUGAGCCCUCAUCACGCACCCCUGCCUCUCACUGCAUGGCCGGUACUGACACAGUCAGUUCAGUGAACAUCUGAUGAAUAGAAUUCACUCUGAUAAACCCAGAACCUACCCACGUCUGUCAGAAAGGGACGUGGGUUUACGUGUGCUGCCCGAGUUCUGAACGUGGCCCUCACAGGCCAAGCAAUCAGAGGCUCAGACCCUUGUGGCGAAACAGACAGCAUCUAGAGCAGGCGACUUGGCUCUCAGCCUUUCCCUCUUGGGAAACAGGCAUAUUUCAUCAUUGAUAAUUUGUACUUUGUGACUGCAAGUUGUGCUAACUUGACACAAUGCUGCCUUUCCAGAGGAACAGGUUGUCACUUUUCAUGAAAUUUGUCCUAUUUAAUGACACUUUUUGUUUGGUGUCUAAUUACCUCCCAUCUCUUCUAUUGCUCUGUUAUAGUCCCAAGCUUUUAAAAAUGUUGUGCCAAGAGUCUCGGAAAGAUCCUUUUCAAGCAGAUUCUGGAAGCUUGGCCUCUCCAGCUCAGUUGUAAUUGUCUCGAGAGCAGGGAGCACGUCCUAUCUGUCUCUAUCUCCCAUAGCACCUGGCUUGGUGCAUGCCGGGCAUUCAAUAAGUAUUUGCCAGAUUCAUGAUCUGUGUACUUAUUUCAUGCUGGAUACUGGACAAGGUCUCGGGAGGCAGCAAGAAGGAAUCAGGUUCAGCUCUUGUCCUCCUCCAGUCCCACGCAGGAGGUAAAUCUCAAACAUAAACAGCAAACAUCCGAUGUGCAAAGUGGUGUUUGUGGUGCGGAAUGUAGCAGAACUACCCUGGCAUAUACCCCCUUCCCAGAGCAUCACUUGUACGCAAAGAUUGCUGGGAAAUUCUUUGAUAUCAAAAAAAGCAGGGGCAUAAUACAAAGUACACUGUAACACAUGUAAGCAUGUUAAGGUAAAACAUAGGUUUCGAGGUGCUCUGUCCUCCCAUCUUCCUUCCGGGGGGGUAUCUCCCCUCCCCUCUCGCCUUCAGGAGUAUUUUGUUAGGUGAUCAUGGUGAACAUUGCCAUUGCAUCAAUAAGUUUCCAAUCAGGCUCUGCUCCAUCACUUUCUAGACUUUGAGCAAGUAACCUGAGCUCUCUGAACCUCAGUUUAUUCAUGAUUUUCUAAAAUGAGGCUUAGUGUUUUAUAUAAAGCUUUUGUUACAUACACAGUAGCUUUUGUGAAUGUUGUGAGGAAGUGAAUACUUAUUGGAUGGAUGGAUGGACAGAUAAACAGAGUAGGGAGCGAGCCAGUCUGUUGCCACAUAACAAAAAAAAGGCACAUAUUUUCUUUCUCGUUAAUACUAUACGAUUCGACAGCAUUUUGUACCCUUGAAGAACCUUCAUAUUCACACAAAAUCAGAGAAAGUAGAGCGGUCCCAAGUCUACCAAGGGGAACUACUGAGGCCUCAAGAAACACCCAGAGUCUUACAAAACAUGAGACUGGCCAACUUGAGAUCUGAGCCAGUGCCUGGUUCAGCACCUUUCAUAUAGUAGCUGGGGGACCUGGUAAGUGCUCGGAGUGGGGGGAAGGGGUCAUGCCUCUCAUCCCUGAUCUGUGUACAGCCUGUUCACUUGAGCUGUGUGUUGUGAGUCCCAGGAUCGCAGAGCCCUCCCAGCCGGGGCAGUGGAGAAGUUCUCUACUUUCCCUCCUCAGAAGCUGAUAGAAGCAAUGGGCUCUACUCUCCUUAAGAACAUACAGACACACAGACGUUCACGUGCAGUUUCAGGAAGCUCAUGGGCACCCCAAAGCCCCUCCACCAUGCCCCCCGCCCCCCAGUCAGUGCUCAAGACCUUUCUACAGCCAACCUCUUGAGGCCAGACAACCGCAGAAGUCGCAAACUCAUUACCUCCAGGCCAGCUAGUAGAAACAGUAUAACUCAAUACAACAAACCUUGGUGACUUCAGCCAGGGUCCACUUACCCUUCCAUCUCUACACCAUCUGAAUUCUCAAAAGUUUAUCUUCCAGUAAAAUCCAAAGCCAAACCAUUCACUGUCCUCCCAGACUUUCGCAAGUGUUGGCAGAGAUAAGAAUUGAGGUUAUGUGUGUUUUAGAGAUCAAAAUUGCCAGUGUGUUAAUGGAAUGGGGUGGGGACUGUGAACAGGAUAAUACCUAGGUUGCCUGGAAUCGAUUGGCCUCACCACAGGCAAUGCCUUCAUUGUUAUGAAAGCCAUGAUCAACCCUAAAAGAUAAAGAACCAGACUCACAGCUGAGAGAAACUCGGUCAGGCCAUCCAGGUCGUAUGUUCACUCAACACUCAGGUACUGAACACCUGCGUGUGCCUAAUACAGUUCUAGACCCCUAGGAGAUGUGUGAGGCUACAACAGAAGAGUCCAUGGGGCGCUUGGCUGGCUCAGUUGGUUAAGCAUCUGACUCUCGAUUUUGGCCCUGGUCAUGAUCUCAAGGUUCGUGAAUUCGAUCCCCACAUUGGGCUCUGCUUGGGAUUCUCUCUCUCUCUCCCUCGCUCUCUGCCCCUCCCCAGCUCGCACUCAUGCUCACACACACACUCUCUCUAAAUAAAUAAAUAAACUUAAAAAGAAAAACAAGGGUCGCCUGGGUGGCUCAGUUGGUUAAACAUCCGACUUCGGCUCAGGUCGUGAUCUCACAGUUCGUGAGCUCAAGCCCCGCACUGGGCUCUUUGCUGACAGCUCAGAAACUGGAGCCUGCUUCAGAUUCUGUGUCUCCCUCUCUCUCUGCCCCUACCCCACUUGUGCUCUGUCUUUCUCUCUCUCAAAAAUAAGUAGACAUUACAAAAAUAUAAACAAACAAAAACCCCAAAAAGUCCUUGCCCUGAAGUAAUCCUUGAGCUUACAUUCCAGUGAGGAGGAUGGACAAAUACCAAUAACCCUAGUAAACACAUAAAUUUUACAGUAUGCUAGAAGGCCAAACGUGCUUCAGGGAAAACUACGUUAAACCAUGUGAUAAAGGGAUGACAAGUGUGUGUGAUGGAGGAGUUAACUGGCAGUUAACUUGGGGCCAGGAAAGCCACACUGAAGGUGAAAUGUGAGUAGGACCUGAAGGCAAGGAGGCCAGAUGUGCUGCUGUGGUCAUUCCUGAAAGGACCCAGCCGAGGUGAUGCCGAUGGCACCACUGAGCGUCUGAUGUUCACGUGGCCGGGAUUUACUGAGUGCGUUAUGAGCCAGGUGCUUGGGGUGGGCUGGAUAAUGGUCCCCAAAGAUAUCCAGGUCCUAAUGCCUGGAACCUGUGAAUGUCACCUAGAUGGCAAAGGGACUUGGCAGAUGUCAUGAAGUUAAGGAUUUUAGAUAGCAAGGGUAUCCUGAGUUAUCUGCUGCAGUGUCAUCAUAUGGGUCCUUAUAAGAGGGAGGUACAGGGAGACUUUGACUACAGAAGGAGGAAAGCAGUGGGAUGCUAAACCAGGGGGACAAAAGCGUGAGUCCCCGAGCCAGGGGAUGAGGAAGCUGAAAGAGGCAAGGAAACAGACUCUCCCCUGCAGCUUCCAGAGGGGAGCUGUCCUUCUGCGUGUUGAUUUUAUUCCUGUAAGACUCAUUUUGGACUUCCGACCUCCAGAACUGUAGGAAUAAGUCUGCAUUGUUUUACACCACCAGGUCUGUGGUGAUAUGUUCCAGCAGCCAUAGAAAACAGUGCUAUUUCCGACAAGGAUAUGGUGAUGAACCAAACCGAUGAAAAUGCCUGCCACGCGGACCACUGCCAUUCUGUGCCAGCAGGAGAAGGUCUUGCCCAGAGAGAGGAGGAACAUCCUUCAUUCAAGGGUUUAUGAGUGGCAUCCUCUGCCUGAAUGGCCUGCAUCAGCUCAGCUAAUUCAGAUUGUGGUGACUAAGUGGCAGGCACUUCUUCUGAGGACUUUAAGAACCUGGAUUUAUUUCAUCCUCACGGUACCCUUAUGAGGUACAUACGUUCUGUUCUUCUCCUCAUGUCACAGAUGAGGAAACAGAGGCACAGAGAAGUUAAAUAACUUAACAAAGGUCCCGAGACUUAUCAGGAGCCAAGAUUCAACCUCUCGACUGUUUUAAGGCUCAUUAAUACAAUGGCUACAGUUUAUUGAGCAGCUACUAUGUGUCUGGCACUCUUCAUGUACGUGUCACAACAACCCUUUGAAUGAGGCACUGUACUAAGCCCCGAAGGUGGAGAAGUGAAUAAGAUUCAGGCAAUAAAAGUAGUGGUCAAGAAGUCGGACUUCGGAGUCUCCGGAACCAUCUGGGUGAUCUUAGGCAAGUCACUUAACUCUUCUGAGACUCAGUUUUCUCAUUCAUAAAAUGGGAAUGGUACCAGGAUCUACCUCCGGGGCAUUAUGAGGAUUAUAUGAGACCCAGCACACGCAGUGCUUAGGCUCAGUGCUUGGCACAGCAUGAGUUGUCAGUACGUGUCAGCUGUUGUUAUACAGUUGUUGCUGUAAUAAGAAAGCUCAGUUCCUGCCCUUACCGGAGAAGACCCAUGAGUGAUGUAGCCAUCACUGUUCCUCCCAUGUUCAUUCCGACGGUAAUUUAACAAACUUUGAACUAGGCUAAGUCUCUAGCUUGCUCAACCCAUUGGCAGACUGAAGACAAAAUGAGGGAACUCCUGCUUCUCACUAGCUUCAAAGCCGCCCACCAUCUCUUUUUCCUCCUGGGAUGGGCUAGGACCUCUAGGAAGACCAGUCACCCUCCGCCCUCCUGGAACACAGUGGAUGUACUUAAAGAAAGAAAAUACCGGAAAAUCCCACCAGAGCAUAUGACUGUGAAUUGAACACACAUAUGCUAGACUUACCUGGAAGUUUGCCAAGACCCAGUGAUGAAGAUGGAGGGAGGAUAUUAAGCCUCCAACAC